rnacentral:rRNA from 1 species
UGCUUCUCUUUGAGAGCGGCGGACGGGUGAGUAAUGCCUAGGAAUCUGCCUGGUAGUGGGGGAUAACGUCCGGAAACGGACGCUAAUACCGCAUACGUCCUACGGGAGAAAGCAGGGGACCUUCGGGCCUUGCGCUAUCAGAUGAGCCUAGGUCGGAUUAGCUAGUUGGUGGGGUAAUGGCUCACCAAGGCGACGAUCCGUAACUGGUCUGAGAGGAUGAUCAGUCACACUGGAACUGAGACACGGUCCAGACUCCUACGGGAGGCAGCAGUGGGGAAUAUUGGACAAUGGGCGAAAGCCUGAUCCAGCCAUGCCGCGUGUGUGAAGAAGGUCUUCGGAUUGUAAAGCACUUUAAGUUGGGAGGAAGGGCAGUAAAUUAAUACUUUGCUGUUUCCGACGUUACCGACAGAAUAAGCACCGGCUAACUCUGUGCCAGCAGCCGCGGUAAUACAGAGGGUGCAAGCGUUAAUCGGAAUUACUGGGCGUAAAAGCGCGCGUAGGUGGUUCGUUAAGUUGGAUGUGAAAUCCCCGGGCUCAACCUGGGAACUGCAUUCAAAUACUGACGAGCUAGAGUAUGGUAGAGGGUGGUGGAAUUUUCCUGUGUA